rnacentral:rRNA from 1 species
UACGUAGGGGGCAAGCGUUGUCCGGAUUUAUUGGGCGUAAAGAGCUCGUAGGUGGUUUGGUAAGUCGGGUGUGAAAUCUUGGAGCUUAACUCCGAAACUGCAUUCGAUACUGCCGUGCUUGAGGACUGGAGAGGAGACUGGAAUUUACGGUGUAGCGGUGAAAUGCGUAGAUAUCGUAAGGAAGACCAGUGGCGAAGGCGGGUCUCUGGACAGUUCCUGACGCUGAGGCACGAAGGCCAGGGGAGCAAACGGG